GGAGUAUUAGUGUAGCGGUUAACACGUCGCCCUGUCACGGCGAAGACCACGGGUUCGAAUCCCGUAUACUCCGCCA
rnacentral:tRNA from 1 species